rnacentral:rRNA from 1 species
GACGAACGCUGGCGGCGUGCUUAACACAUGCAAGUCGAACGAAGAGCGAUGGAAGCUUGCUUCUAUCAAUCUUAGUGGCGAACGGGUGAGUAACGCGUAAUCAACCUGCCCUUCAGAGGGGGACAACAGUUGGAAACGACUGCUAAUACCGCAUACGAUCCAAUCUCGGCAUCGAGGAUGGAUGAAAGGUGGCCUCUAUUUAUAAGCUAUCACUGAAGGAGGGGAUUGCGUCUGAUUAGCUAGUUGGAGGGGUAACGGCCCACCAAGGCGAUGAUCAGUAGCCGGUCUGAGAGGAUGAACGGCCACAUUGGGACUGAGACACGGCCCAGACUCCUACGGGAGGCAGCAGUGGGGAAUCUUCCGCAAUGGACGAAAGUCUGACGGAGCAACGCCGCGUGAGGGAUGACGGCCUUCGGGUUGUAAAGCUCUGUUAAUCGGGACGAAAGGUCCUCUUGCGAAUAGUUAGAGGAAUUGACGGUACCGGAAUAGAAAGCCACGGCUAACUACGUG